rnacentral:rRNA from 1 species
AUUGAACGCUGGCGGCAGGCUUAACACAUGCAAGUCGAGGGGUAGAACACUUCGGUGUUUGAGACCGGCGCACGGGUGCGUAACGCGUAUGCAAUCUACCUUGUACAGGGGAAUAGCCCAGAGAAAUUUGGAUUAAUGCCCCAUAGUAUAUAACCUUCGCAUGUUGGUUAUAUUAAAGUUCCAACGGUACAAGAUGAGCAUGCGUCCCAUUAGUUAGUUGGUAAGGUAACGGCUUACCAAGACGAUGAUGGGUAGGGGUCCUGAGAGGGAGAUCCCCCACACUGGUACUGGGACACGGACCAGACUCCUACGGGAGGCAGCAGUGAGGAAUAUUGGUCAAUGGGCGCAAGCCUGAACCAGCCAUGCCGCGUGCAGGAAGCCGGUCCUAUGGAUUGUAAACUGCUUUUAUACAGGAAGAAACAACUCUACGUGUAGAGUCUUGACGGUACUGUAGGAAUAAGGAUCGGCUAACUCCGUGCCAGCCGCCGCAGUAAGAC